GAUGAACGCUGGCGGCGUGCCUAAUACAUGCAAGUCGAACGAGUUCUCGUUGAUGAUCGGUGCUUGCACCGAGAUUCAACAUGGAACGAGUGGCGGACGGGUGAGUAACACGUGGGUAACCUGCCCUUAAGUGGGGGAUAACAUUUGGAAACAGAUGCUAAUACCGCAUAGAUCCAAGAACCGCAUGGUUCUUGGCUGAAAGAUGGCGUAAGCUAUCGCUUUUGGAUGGACCCGCGGCGUAUUAGCUAGUUGGUGAGGUAAUGGCUCACCAAGGCGAUGAUACGUAGCCGAACUGAGAGGUUGAUCGGCCACAUUGGGACUGAGACACGGCCCAAACUCCUACGGGAGGCAGCAGUAGGGAAUCUUCCACAAUGGACGCAAGUCUGAUGGAGCAACGCCGCGUGAGUGAAGAAGGCUUUCGGGUCGUAAAACUCUGUUGUUGGAGAAGAAUGGUCGGCAGAGUAACUGUUGUCGGCGUGACGGUAUCCAACCAGAAAGCCACGGCUAACUACGUGCCAGCAGCCGCGGUAAUACGUAGGUGGCAAGCGUUAUCCGGAUUUAUUGGGCGUAAAGCGAGCGCAGGCGGUUUUUUAAGUCUGAUGUGAAAGCCCUCGGCUUAACCGAGGAAGCGCAUCGGAAACUGGGAAACUUGAGUGCAGAAGAGGACAGUGGAACUCCAUGUGUAGCGGUGAAAUGCGUAGAUAUAUGGAAGAACACCAGUGGCGAGGCGGCUGUCUGGUCUGUAACUGACGCUGAGGCUCGAAAGCAUGGGUAGCGAACAGGAUUAGAUACCCUGGUAGUCCAUGCCGUAAACGAUGAAUGCUAGGUGUUGGAGGGUUUCCGCCCUUCAGUGCCGCAGCUAACGCAUUAAGCAUUCCGCCUGGGGAGUACGACCGCAAGGUUGAAACUCAAAGGAAUUGACGGGGGCCCGCACAAGCGGUGGAGCAUGUGGUUUAAUUCGAAGCAACGCGAAGAACCUUACCAGGUCUUGACAUCUUUUGAUCACCUGAGAGAUCAGGUUUCCCCUUCGGGGGCAAAAUGACAGGUGGUGCAUGGUUGUCGUCAGCUCGUGUCGUGAGAUGUUGGGUUAAGUCCCGCAACGAGCGCAACCCUUAUGACUAGUUGCCAGCAUUUAGUUGGGCACUCUAGUAAGACUGCCGGUGACAAACCGGAGGAAGGUGGGGAUGACGUCAAAUCAUCAUGCCCCUUAUGACCUGGGCUACACACGUGCUACAAUGGAUGGUACAACGAGUUGCGAGACCGCGAGGUCAAGCUAAUCUCUUAAAGCCAUUCUCAGUUCGGACUGUAGGCUGCAACUCGCCUACACGAAGUCGGAAUCGCUAGUAAUCGCGGAUCAGCACGCCGCGGUGAAUACGUUCCCGGGCCUUGUACACACCGCCCGUCACACCAUGAGAGUUUGUAACACCCGAAGCCGGUGGCGUAACCCUUUUAGGGAGCGAGCCGUCUAAGGUGGGACAAAUGAUUAGGGUG
rnacentral:rRNA from 1 species